UAAUGUAUGGGAUCUGCCCGAUAGAGGGGAAUAACUACUGGAAACGGUGGCUAAUACCGCAUAAUGUCUACGGACCAAAGCAGGGGCUCUUCGGACCUUGCACUAUCGGAUGAACCCAUAUGGGAUUAGCUAGUAGGUGGGGUAAAGGCUCACCUAGGCGACGAUCUCUAGCUGGUCUGAGAGGAUGAUCAGCCACACUGGGACUGAGACACGGCCCAG
rnacentral:rRNA from 1 species